GAAGGAAGGGAGAGGAAAGAGUGAAAAAGGAAGGAAGAAGAGUUGUGAAAAAAGAAAGGAAAUUAAAAGAGAAAAAGAGGGUUAUGAUAUGAGGGAGGUUGAGUGUUAUGAGGUUCUUGAGGGUUGAGAUAGCGAAGGAAGGAAGGAAGGAAAAGGAGAGGAAAGAGUAAAAAAGGAAGGAAGAAGAAUUGUGAAAAAAGAAAAGAAAUGAAAAGAGAAAAAGUUAUGAAAUGAGGGAGGAUGAGUAUUAUGAGGUUCUUGAGGGUUGAGAUAGCGAAGGAAGGAAGGAAGGAAAAGGAGAGGAAAGAGUAAAAAAGGAAGGAAAAAGAGUCGUGAAAAAAGAAAAGAAAUGAAAAGAGAAAAAGUUAUGAAAUGAGGGAGGAUGAGUAUUAUGAGGUUCUUGAGGGUUGAGAUAACGAAGGAAGGAAGGAAGGAAAAGGGAGUGAAAGGAGAAAAAGAGAAGGAAGGAAGAAGUUGUGAAAAAAGAAAAGAAAUGAAAAGAGAAAAAGAGUUAUGAAAUGAGGGAGGAUGAGUAUUAUGAGGUUCCUGAUGACUGAGAUAGCGAGGUGAGAGGGAGGUAAGGAGAGAAAGUAGGAGGAGGAAUAAAGGGGAAUAGGAGACAAAUAAAGGAAGAAAAAAAGCGUUUGGGACAUAGGAAACAAUGAAGAAAGAAUGUGUGGAGGGAAGGAACGAUAUAGAGUGGAGAUAUGAAAUGAGAAUAGAGAAAAAAAAACAAUAAAAAAGUAAAGUGAAAAUGAAGAAAAGGAAGUAAGAGAAAACAGAGAGAAAGCAAUGAAAAGAAGGAUGUGUGGAGGAGAGGAACGAUAAAGAGUGGAAAUAGGAAGUGGGAAUAGACAAAAAAGAAGAUAAAGCAAGGUGGAAACGAAGGAAAAAGAGAAGGAAGAAGAGGGAAAACAAAGGAAGCAUUAAUGAAACAGCAUGUGAAGUGGAGGAACGAGAAAGAAGUUAAAAAUAGACAAAAAAAAAAACAAUAAAAGGAACGUAAGAAAAAAAAGAAGAAAAGAAGAAAGAAAAGAAAGAAAAGAGAGAAAACAAAGAAGAAAUAGGAAGUGGAGAAAAGAAAGAAAGAAUAAGAGAAAAAGACAGGAAGGAAGGAAGGAAGAAAGAAAGAAAGAA